UACGUAGGGCGCAAGCGUUGUCCGGAAUUAUUGGGCGUAAAGAGCUCGUAGGCGGUUUGUCGCGUCUGCUGUGAAAACCUAAGGCUCAACCUUGGGCUUGCAGUGGGUACGGGCAGACUAGAGUGCGGUAGGGGUGACUGGAAUUCCUGGUGUAGCGGUGGAAUGCGCAGAUAUCAGGAGGAACACCGAGUGGCGAAGGCAGGUCACUGGGCCGCAACUGACGCUGGAGGAGCGAAAGGCGUGGGGAGCGAUCCGG
rnacentral:rRNA from 1 species